UCGGGAAUCAAUUAAGCGAUGCUACGUCGCGGGACUUCAUUCUACAGUUGAAAAUUGUGGCGUCGAUAUGUACCUUACCGCUACAACCGCGUCACGUCAACUACUUCGUAUUUCCACCGCUAUCCUGUUCCUAUUAUACGCUACUAUUAGAUAGCUGGUUGAUCACUGAAACGAGUUCGAAAGAACAGAAAUUUAUGGACGCCAUGAUAAUUAAUGGUUAAUUCGCUGGCUGUCAAACGGAUUUGGUGUUCGAUUCGCUGUAGUAAAUGCAGAAGAAUAAAUCGCAGAGGGCGCAAGAAGCACGACGAAUUUUUUCCAAGUCGGUAUUUCAGAACGUGAUACACAAAGCGUUAUUUAAUGUCACCACUAACGUGUCACGUUUAUUCUAUCGUUAACAUUCGGUGGAGAUACAUACAUUGAGCGACAUCUGUUAUCAACCGGCGUUUUAAAUCACGAAACGUCUGACCUCUAUGCAAAAGACCCUGCACUACAAAAAGAUUAUCGGAGAUCGUGAGACCGCUACUAACAACUGGACCAAAACAACGAAACGAGACGAUGCAUCUUCCGAUGUCAAGAACAAUUGUGAACACACGCGACCGGGUUGUUUACUCGCAGGCGCACAAAAACUAGGAUAGAAUAUGGCCUGUCGGUUCGUUGAACGCUAUGUAUCACGCAAGCGAAAGCGCGCUUCGGAAAAACGGAUUGUUGAAAGAAAUACAGCCAUUACACGAUUAAAAGUUAUGGUCUUUGCGACGAUGUCAAUAUCAAUGACUAACCCGUUGCUCCACGAUCUUUUUGAUUGGCAAUCCGUCAGCUCGUAGGCGGCCCGUGAUAUGUACCUACUGUACUUUUUGUGGAGAAACGAUGACGUUGAUACGUUGUCGUUAGCGAGAAACUUUCCUUUCUUUGAUGCAAGCCGAAUCAAUCGCGACGAACGAUCGUUGUGUAGGUAUAUGUAGGUUUUGACAUAAGUUGCCUUUACUCUUUCUUUGUCGUUCGUCGGAUAUUUGGAAAGGUUUCGUUUGGAGAAUUGUAGUAGAAGAGGAUUAUUGUAUAGGUUUUUAUGGGACGGAUGUUCGCUAGUCAAAUGGUUUUUGCACUUCCGGCUCGUGUUUGUCGGGUCUAUCAGAUAUUAUUGUCGCGUAUAGUCCACGAUAGCGCAUCUUUUCUCUACUUUUUCUCUACUUUGAUACGUGCACUUUGUCAGUAUAGACAUUAGACGAUUCGAAAGAUUUAUAAUUUUCUUUCAGACAAUUUUUGUUCCGUAGAUUUCAUUUAUCAUCACUGUGAAUGUUAUACGUGAUAAUACUAUAUCCAAUUAAAUCAUGAUAUUAUGAAUCUUCCGUUGCAUCUUCAAAAUUUUGAGGUUGUUAAUUCGUCCCGCACAUUUGAGUCUAUAUCAUAUGCAUACCAUCAAAGUGUAAGUGUUAUCUUGUAUGAAAAACAGCGCGAACGUGUUAAGAGGCAUGCGAUACUUGUUGGAACAAUCAAUAUCUGGCAUAAUUCCUUCACCAAUCGGAUUCUCGUUAAUUUCACAUUCCCCAAGAAAGUACCCGUUCCAAUGUUCCCUAAUUACCCCAUUACACAUUGGAAACAGUCAACUAGAAAACAAGGAUGGAAUUAAUUGUAAUAUUUGUACUGUCG